rnacentral:lncRNA from 1 species
GGGCUCAGUCUUCAUCUGAUGAGGAAGUCCCCACCUCCUCAUCGCUAUUUUCUGGCUAAAGGCCAUGGAGUUCCUAGUAUGGUGUUAUCUACAAUGGGUAGGCCUUACAAUCCUCAAAGUCGAAGAUAAAGAUGGUAGCAGCAAUAUCAACAGCCUCCUUCUCGACCUCUAUAGAGGCUCGGAACUCUGAAUAUAGCAUGGUCAGACACCAAAAGAAAUCCGCUCAAAUUGGAAGGUACGUUCACCCCUAGAAGAUGGCAG